rnacentral:rRNA from 1 species
UACGAAGGGGGCUAGCGUUGCUCGGAUUGACUGGGCGUAAAGCGCACGUAGGCGGACUCUUAAGUCGGUGGUGAAAUCCUGGAGCUCAACUCCAGAACUGCCUUCGAUACUGAGAGUCUCGAGUCCGGGAGAGGUGAGUGGAACUGCGAGUGUAGAGGUGAAAUUCGUAGAUAUUCGCAAGAACACCAGUGGCGAAGGCGGCUCACUGGCCCGGUACUGACGCUGAGGUGCGAAAGCGUGGGGAGCAAACAGG